rnacentral:lncRNA from 1 species
CUUAUAAUGCCGUUUUCUAAAGAUAUUAGUGAACAAAAUCGAUUUGCUAACACUAUUUAAUAUAUUUUAAAUGUGCUAAAAUUGGAUUCAACAGCAAAAGUCGCAUAAAUAACAUAUAAAUAACGAAUUUGUUCACCUAUUACAAAUGGGGUUAUGUGGUUGUAACUGUUUAUUUUGGGAAUAAAAUGAAAAUAAUCAAUUAAACGACUGGAAAACUAUAGUGAAGUGAAGAACAUCUUGAAGUUCCAAUGAUGUUUCAAGAUGAGGUAAAUGGAAAUAAUUGUAUGUUAGAAGGACAGAGAAUAUGAAGAAAUGUUAUUGCUGCAUAUUUAGUGUAGUGAAAUACAAACUUCAAACAUUAUAAUAUAUUUUUUGAUUUCAAACAUUUCAUAUGAUUAUGAAAGAACAUCUUUCUUUUUAAAACAAUGAAGAAGUGAAGAACAUAAUAAAGUUCCAACGAAAAUGAUUCCAGAUGAGGAAAAUCGAAAUAAUGGUUGUAUGUUACAUGUAUAGAGAAUACGAAGAAAUGUUAUUGCUGCAAACUUAGUGUAGUGAAUUAAAAACUUAUUGUCAAAUACAAAUCAAUUUAUUUCAUACUUUUAUAAUAUAUAGUGAUAUAAUUUUAUAUGUGUUCAAAUAAAAAUAUUAAUAAAUAAAAUACAAUAAACACAAA